GACGAACGCUGGCGGCGUGCUUAACACAUGCAAGUCGAACGGAAAGGCCCUGCUUGCAGGGUGCUCGAGUGGCGAACGGGUGAGUAACACGUGGGUGAUCUGCCCCUUACUUUGGGAUAAGCCUGGGAAACUGGGUCUAAUACUGGAUAGGACCAUGCUGUAGGUGGUGUGGUGGAAAGAUUAGUUUCGGUAAGGGAUGAGAUCGCGGCCUAUCAGCUUGUUGGUGGGGUAAUGGCCUACCAAGGCGUCGACGGGUAGCCGGCCUGAGAGGGUGGACGGCCACAUUGGGACUGGGAUACGGCGCAGACUCCUACGGGAGGCAGCAGUGGGGAAUAUUGCACAAUGGGCGCAAGCCUGAUGCAGCGACGCCGCGUGGGGGAUGACGGCCUUCGGGUUGUAAACUCCUUUCAGCCAUGACGAAGCCCUUGUGGUGACGGUAGUGGUAGAAGAAGCACCGGCUAACUACGUG
rnacentral:rRNA from 1 species